rnacentral:lncRNA from 1 species
GUUAUCACUAUAACUUAGUCAUUUUUAAGGAUCUAAUAAUUUUUAAAGAUUUUAUUAAAGGAUAGAAGAGAAGAAAUUAACCAGCCAAUUUCAAUCCUCCCACUGACUUCACCAAGUCAGAUUAAAAAAGAUUUAAUUAAAGCCGGCAUUAGGAGCACCUAAAUCAGUCACACUGAUUUACCUAAUGACAUGGGUGAGUCCUAAUCACCAAGUGAUCUAAUCAAAAUCUAACUCACCAGGUUGGCCAGGUAAAAGAGAUCAGUGGUGAGGAUAUACCAUUAACUCGUCAG